CACGUAGGGGCCAAGCGUUGUCCGGAUUUAUUGGGCGUAAAGAGCUCGUAGGCGGCCUGUCGCGUCGGAUGUGAAAGCCCGGGGCUUAACCCCGGGUCUGCAUUCGAUACGGGCAGGCGUAGAGUGUGGUAGGGGAGAUCGGAAUUCCUGGUGUAGCGGUGAAAUGCGCAGAUAUCAGGAGGAACACCGGUGGCGAAGGCGGAUCUCUGGGCCAUUACUGACGCUGAGGAGCGAAAGCGUGGGGAGCGAACAGG
rnacentral:rRNA from 1 species